rnacentral:rRNA from 1 species
AGCGUCAUCCUACGGGGGCAGCAGUAGGGAAUUUUCGUCAAUGGCGCAAGCCUGAACGAGCGAUGCCGCGUGAGUGAAGAAGGCCUUCGGGUCGUAAAGCUCUGUUGCGGGGGAAAAAAGGCAGCAUCAGGAAAUGGGUGCUGACUGAUGGUGCCCCGCCAGAAAGUCACGGCUAACUACGUGCC